rnacentral:rRNA from 1 species
UACGGAGGAUGCGAGCGUUAUCCGGAUUUAUUGGGUUUAAAGGGUGCGUAGGCGGCCGAGUAAGUCAGCGGUGAAAUUUUGCAGCUUAACUGUAACAGUGCCGUUGAUACUGCAUGGCUAGGAUUUGGUUGCUGUGGGUGGAAUGUGUGGUGUAGCGGUGAAAUGCCUAGAUAUCACACAGAAUAUCGAUUGCGAAGGCAGCUCACAAAGCCAAGAUUGACGCUGAGGCACGAAAGUGUGGGGAUCAAA